rnacentral:rRNA from 1 species
GAUGAACGCUGGCGGCGUGCCUAAUACAUGCCAGUCGAGCGAACAGACGAGGAGCUUGCUCCUCUGACGUUAGCGGCGGACGGGUGAGUAACACGUGGAUAACCUACCUAUAAGACUGGGAUAACUUCGGGAAACCGGAGCUAAUACCGGAUAAUAUAUUGAACCGCAUGGUUCAAUAGUGAAAGACGGUUUUGCUGUCACUUAUAGAUGGAUCCGCGCCGCAUUAGCUAGUUGGUAAGGUAACGGCUUACCAAGGCAACGAUGCGUAGCCGACCUGAGAGGGUGAUCGGCCACACUGGAACUGAGACACGGUCCAGACUCCUAGGGGAGGCAGCAGUAGGGAAAAUUCCGCAAGGGGCGAAAGCCUGACGGAGCAACGCCGCGUGAGUGAUGAAGGGCUUCGGAUCGGAAAACUCUGUUAUUAGGGAAGAACAAAUGUGUAAGUAACUAGGCACGUCUUGACGGUACCUAAUCAGAAAGCCACGGCUAACUACGUG